ACCCUCCUUUAAGGCUCAAGAGCAUUAUUAUAUCAGUGCCUGUUAAAUUUCCAUAGUAAAUUUUAAGAAGUGUUUGACCCUCUGCAAAACUUGAGAGCCAACUUUAAAUCUACUGGUUUCAUUUUGCAAGACAAUUUCUUCAUAUUAAUUAUUAACUUUUCUGUGUCAGACCUCGAUCCUCUCUGCUCUUUCUUUUAAUGCAUUGGUAAGGACUAAACCACUUUGGACUCUCAGAUGAUACAAGGUGAUGGAAUCAAACCCCAGAGGUGCCUUCAGCAAGAACAAUCUCCUGCCCUUGUUGAUGAAAUGUUUGCGGCUGUCCUGGCUGUGCCAACAGCCUCUCUGCCACAAGACUGAGAAGCAGACUGCCACUUCCCAGGGGCCAGGCGCUAUCCACUGCGCAUUGGCUACAUGGGAGGGGGCUGGUCCCCAAAUCUCCUCUUUGACUCUGCCAUUGUGUAAUAUUAAAUCUGCAGGUCAAUACAAGAAAAACAUGUAAGAACAUUUUAUGUCUUAAAAGAGCAUUCAUAAAUGUACUUGAAUAUUUAUAUAAACAUGUGUUUAUAUAAAUAUACAAGUAUAUUUAUAUGUAAGUAUAUUGAUAUUUUAUGUAUUUUCCUUCACCUGUAUAACAGUUUAUGCAUUUUUUUAAUUUUGAAUUUCUAAUCAAAUAAAAAUCCCACUGUGACUCCUGCAGGAAAUCAGUCUGUCAAGAUUAGUGUCAGUGUUAUUUUGUGUGUAAUAGCUAUGAGUCAGGUCAUGCUGGUCAUGAGUUUUCAUAACCUAAAAUAAAAACAAGAUUAAAGAAAAAGAAACAGAACUAUCAGAACCUGCACAUUUCAUCAUAUCUGAGCUCCACAUCUGUGGUACUAUUAUCUUCACCUUCAAUUUUUUUCAUCUUGUGCCCGCAAUCUGCUCCCAAUUCUCCUAAAAUGGAGAAUCAUGUCUUUGGUGCUUUUUGUCUCCAUUUAAGCUCAGCUCUUGGAAUUCUUUGCAACAGAUAGGUUGCAGAAAAGAGAGCCACUGCCAGGCUGGAGCUUUACACCGGAGCUGCUCAGCUGUGUACUGCUAAAAUAUGAAACAAAGCAGUAAGUUCAAACAGGCAGGGACCUCUUUUUAAUUUAAUUUCUUUAACCAAAAUUUGUUGAAGUCUAGGAAGGAAGGAAGUUAGGAAGGAAGUUAGGAAGUUAGGAAAGAGAGAAAGAGAGAGGAAGGAAGGAAGUUAGGAAGUUAGGAAGGAAGUUAGGAAGUUAGGAAGUUAGGAAGGAAGGAAGGAAGUUAGGAAGGAAGGAAGGAAGUUAGGAAGGAAGGAAGUUAGGAAGGAAGGAAGUUAGGAAGGAAGUUAGGAAGGAAGUUAGGAAGGAAGGAAGUUAGGAAGGAAGUUAGGAAGUUAGGAAGGAAGUUAGGAAGGAAGGAAGUUAGGAAGGAAGGAAGGAAGG